rnacentral:rRNA from 1 species
AUUGAACGCUAGCGGCAUGCCUAACACAUGCAAGUCGAGCGGAGUGGCGGACGGGUGAGUAAUGCCUCGGAAUCUGCCCGGUAGCGGGGGAUAACUUCCGGAAAGGGGCGCUAAUACCGCAUACUAUCAGAUCAGCCGAGGUCGGAUUAGCUAGUUGGUGGGGUAACGGCCUACCAAGGCGACGAUCCGUAACUGGUCUGAGAGGAUGAUCAGUCACACUGGAACUGAGACACGGUCCAGACUCCUACGGGAGGCAGCAGUGGGGAAUAUUGGACAAUGGGCGAAAGCCUGAUCCAGCCAUGCCGCGUGUGUGAAGAAGGUCUUCGGAUUGUAAAGCACUUUAAGCUGGGAGGCGUUACCAACAGAAUAAGCACCGGCUAACUUCGUGCCAGCAGCCGCGGUAAUAC